rnacentral:SRP_RNA from 1 species
GCCGGGCUUGGUGGUGGGCGCCUUUAAUCCCAGCUACUUGGGAGGCUGAGGCAGGAGAAUUGCUUGUACCCAGGAGGCAGAGGUUGCAGUGAGCUAAGAUCACGCCACUGCACUCCAGCCUGGGUGACAGAGCAAGACCCUGUCUCAA